CUUCAGUUGUUCUGGUGUGAGAGCGGCAUAUCCCUGUCAUGGUGAUGCGGUGGAGGUGGGAUGGAGGUGUGAUGGGCUGGAGGUAGGAUGGAGGUGUGAUGGGCUGGAGGUAGGAUGGAGGUGCGAUGGGCUGGAGGUAGGAUGGAGGUGCGAUUAGCUGGAGGUAGGAUGGAGGUGCGAUGGGCUGGAGGUAGGAUGGAGGUGUGAUGGGCUGGAGUUAGGAUGGAGGUGUGAUGGGUUGGAGGUAGGAUGGAGGUAGGGUGGAGGUGUGAUGGGCUGGAGGUAGGGUGGAAGUGCGAUGGGCUGGAGGUAGGGUGGAGGUGCGAUGGGCUGGAUGUAGGAUGGAGGUAGGAUGGAGGUGUGAUGGGCUGGAGGUAGGGUGGAGGUGCGAUGGGCUGGAUGUAGGAUGGAGGUGCAAUGGGCUGGAGGUAGGAUGGAGGUGCGAUGGGCUGGAGUUAGGAUGGAGGUGCGAUUAGCUGGAGGUAGGAUGGAGGUGUGAUGGGCUGGAGGUAGGAUGGAGGUGCGAUGGGCUGGAGGUAGGAUGGAGGUGUGAUGGGCUGGAGUUAGGAUGGAGGUGUGAUGGGUUGGAGGUAGGAUGGAGGUAGGGUGGAGGUGUGAUGGGCUGGAGGUAGGGUGGAGGUGUGAUGGGCUGGAGAUAGGAUGGAGGUGUGAUGGGCUGGAGGUAGGGUGGAGGUGCGAUGGGCUGGAUGUAGGAUGGAGGUGCGGUGGGCUGGAGGUAGGAUGGAGGUGCGAUAAGCUGGAGGUAGGAUGGAGGUGUGAUGGGCUGGAGGUAGGAUGGAGGUGCGAUGGGCUGGAGGUAGGAUGGAGGUGUGAUGGGCUGGAGGUAGGGUGGAGGUGUGAUGGGCUGGAGAUAGGAUGGAGGUGUGAUGGGCUGGAGUUAGGAUGGAGGGGCGAUGGGCUGGAGGUAGGAUGGAGGUGUGAUGGGUUGGAGGUAGGAUGGAGGUGUGAUGGGCUGGAGGUAGGGUGGAGGUGUGAUGGGCUGGAGGUAGGAUGGAAGUGUGAUGGGCUGGAGUUAGGAUGGAGGUGUGAUGGGCUGGAGGUAGGAUGGAGGUGUGAUGGGCUGGAGGUAGGGUGGAGGUGUGAUGGGCUGGAGGUAGGAUGGAGGUGUGAUGGGCUGGUGGUAGGAUGGAGGUGUGAUGGGCUGGCGGUAGGAUGGCGGUAGGAUGGGGAUGGUGGCCGAUGGGAAAU